UUAGUUUUUUUCAGCUUUUUAAAACUGUCUGAAUGUUUUUUUCUUUCGUUUUGCAUGAAUUUUAAAUUUUCUGAAUGUUUUUUUUCUAUUUCGGUUUGUAUGAAUUUAAAUUCUAUAAUAUUAUUAGUUUUAAAUUUCAGAUUUUAUUUAUUUAUUAAUUAAUUUUUCAUAUAAAAAAUAUAUAUAAAAAUGCAAAAUUAAUUCGUAUUAUUAAAAUUGACAUUUUCCGACGAACUAAGUUCUCGGUAAAUACCGACGGAGUAUGACUCGUCGGUAAAUACCGACGGACUAUGAUUCGUCGGAACAUACCGACGAAUGGUGAGUCGUCGGAAUUUACCGACGAAUCGUAAUCCGUCGGUAUUUACCGACGAGUCAUAUUCCGUCGGUAUUUACCGACGAAUCAGACUCCGUCGGUAUUUACCGAGAACUUAGUUCGUCGGAAUCUUCGGAGGAUCCGUCUCCGUCGGUAUAUAGUUUUUCCGAUGAACUCUAGUCUCGUGUGUCCGCAUCGGAAUAUUGUCGGAAGUUCGUCAGAAUGUUAUUUCUCGGUAUUCGUCAGAAAGUCGUCGGAAAUUCUGACGAAAUUCCGACGAAUUCUUUUUUUCCGACGAAAUGAUACCGACGAACGCCUUCGUCAGAAAUGCGUCGGAAUAGGCCUUUUCCGACGAACUUCCGACGAUUUUGGCCAUCAGAAUCUCUUUGUUUUCUUGUAGUGGUGUAUCGGGUCCAUUCUCGAUCACUGAAGAGGCUCCGUUUUCUACGAAGUUCUUCUCUCCAGUCUGAUUCUGUUCCAGGAGUUGUGAUUGAUGCUCCUCUACUAUGCUCUUUGAGAAUCAGUGACGGUGUAUCAAAAAUGUUUAUAGUAAAGGAUAUGAAGUGCAAUGCUAAGCUAGAUAUCUCUUUCGACUUUGGUUUGGAGGCUUUUGACGAAUCAAAUGUUUCAUCAAUAAGCCACAUACGCAAUUUUCUGUCUGGGAUCUCGAGGGUUAGGGAUAUGACUAUAUCUGCGUUCACUUUCGAGAUCAUUCAUCACUAUUCCAAACUAGAACCCCUGCCUCGGUUUGACUGCAUGACCCGCCUGGAUGUUAUAGUUUGUGCAUCUAUUUACAAUGGUUGCCAACUUUUCUUGAGCGCUGCCCGAAUCUGACAUCCCUCGAACUGGUAAUGAUCAUCGACUUUUUUUCAUACCUUUGAAGAUUCCAUGCAUCUUCUCAUUGUGUUCUAAUCCUCUCUUUUCUCUUUAGGAAUUGCGCAAUGAUGAGGAAAUGCAUCCCAGGGAGAUGAAUCAAAUAAGUUUUUCAUCUGUGCCUGUGUAUCAUCUCUAGAGUUUGUUGAUUUCGCAAUCUGGGGACAUUUUCCAGAAAUGAAGCUAGUCAGGUACUUACUAGAGAGUUCAACAAGCCUCAAGAAACUCACUCUAAAUGUCAACCAUGAUUCAAUAGAUUAUGACAUCUUCUAUGAACUACUGAAAAUUCCAAGACGCUCAACCAUAUGUGAAGUCGUCGUUGUUGAUUUCUAAGCAUGUGACGAUUAUUAUGAUUAAAUCAGUUUGAUGUGGUAAAUUCUUUUGCCAUACAAGGAAUGCAAUUUAGGCGAUUUGGUAUGUUUAUUAUCGUUGGAGUAAAUGAGAUGAAACAUGUUUUAAGGAACAUUUUCAAGACUUCAUGUUGUUCGUUGUUCACUUGUUUGAUAGCCUCUCUUUUUUUUAUUAUCAUCAAAAAUCUGUGUGUAAACGAGUUUUUGACUUUCUUUAUUCUUGGCAAAAGAAAAUUCUAUAUAACAUGCUGAAAUUUGUAUUAUAAUGUGGUUCAUGCUUGUCUUUUAUUCAAAAGUUAAGACGAAGAAACUGCUUCGAAAGUUAAGCAAAAACCAACACGUGUCACUAUUUAUCCUUAUGUUCUAACAGCAUGAGGAGAGACUUAAGUCUACUUUAUUGUUAUAGAUAGAUACAUAUAAAACAAAUUGUAUAAUGAUAUGUCUAUUGCUUCCGACGAGAAAAAUACAGUCCUAUUUCAUUUAAUUUUUUUUUUCUUACAGAAAUCCAGUUCUAAUUACAACCUAUAUAUUUGUUAAAUUUUGAUAUUGUUCAAUAAAGUUGUCAAAAAUUAUAUUAGAUUACUAUUAAACAAAAAUAUAAUUACAAAAAACACAAAUAUAAAAAUAAUUUUUUUAAAAAUAUAAAACAAAAAAUAUACCCGUUCUUUCAAGGACAGAUCAUAAUCUAGUAUUAUAUAUAAAAUUCAAAUGCUAACGAACAUACUAAUAUAACAACAAUAUAUCUAAUUAUAUAAAAAAAUGUUGGAGUCUCUCCCGCAAUGUCCACGUGGAAACUCUUUCAAUUUAGAGGCGACGCGUGUCCGAGAAGUAUGAAACUCAUCGUUUCAUUUACUUUACUUGGAAAUUGGAUGGGCUUAUAUAUCGUUAAUUUUAUAGGCUUCGUUGGGCUUCAUGUUUUAUCCAAGUCUUCGAUCCCGAUAGCAAGUUAGGCUUAUCGUCUCAAACCAAAUUUUAGGGUUCGCAAUCCUCCUCGAUCUCCAACAACGACGAUGUUCAUAGUUCAUAUGUGCUCACCACACCAGCAAUGGAGGAUCUCUGUGUGUCUCUUCAAUCAGCUAGACAUUCUUUCCUACAAACCGUUACGGGAUGCUUUGAUUCAUCUUCAUUAAUGACCGUCUUAACUCAUUCGGCCACUCCAAGCACGUUUCCUCAUUCAAUGCAUCUUCCCUUUGUACAAGGAGGUGAAUCUACAGCUAUAAAAAGCAGAGUCUUUCCUACGGCUUCAAGUGUUUAAGGAAUUGAUAUCAAUCUCGCUUAUGGAUUUCAGACUCACGACUUCCACUUCCUUCAAUCAAGGGGAAGAAGAUUCUGGAGGAGAAAUGGAUAAGUUUGAAGUCAAGCUUUCUAGAAGGAAGAAUUGGAUCACAUGUUAGUCUAAACUUCAUGAAUAAUAUGCGUCUGGGAUUUUAUGUCUCUUUGUGGGACAGGUUACUUUGUUCUCUAAGCAGUAUAAGUAGAACUUUGAAGCAUAGAUUUUUUUUUUGGUUAUUGUGAUUUCAGCCAUCUGUUCUUCAUAUUUUCUUUACACAUUUUUCAUUCUAGAAUGGAGACUUUAAUCAGAUCAAACAAAUCAACCACACAAAUUUUGUAGAUAUUGUUUUGUUGUAGCAUUCGUUUUACUCUGCACUUGAAGUUGUGAUGCUGGUUGCUACCUCGCGAUCGCGAUUAAACUACGAUGACAUCGUUUUUAUGCCAUACGCCAACUUAGACUGAGAUGGAAACUUUCAUUUGCUUAAAGUAUUAGGUCUUCAAACUUCAUAUCCUGUUUAUUUCUUUGGUAUCUUCGUUUCCAGAAAUUGAUGUUUCUCAUUCAGAUGGCUUUGUCUGGGUGUCAAUUGACUGAAUGGAAUAAGCAUUCUUCUGCGAAGGAGGUGAUGCACAGGACUCAAAGAGACAUGUAUGUUCAUGAAAGAAACAAUGAAGGUCUCAUUUCAUUUCUUACUCUGGAAUAAAUAUUGCAACUGGAUCUUUGCAUUUUUUAAACCUGAUCUCAAAGUUUUGUUCUUUAAUAAAUUUUCUUUUCUUUUGUGCUAAGCACAUACUCCACUACUGCACGCACAGGUUCACAUGUAAGGCUUUGGCCCACAGCCACUGGCUGGCGCCGGUCCAUCAGCAGCGCCGAGCUCAAAGGCAGUUAAAAGAUGUGAGUUGAAGUAUGAUCAUGAACGUAUAUGACUUGAUAGAUUUUGGCCAAUGAAGUCAAGAAUCUAACGUUUGUCACUUAGGAAGACUGCUAACGACUUUGACGAAGUUAUGAGGUAAUAAUUCUUUUCGCCAUGACAUGCGUUGGUGGAAGGAGGACGAUUCUGCAUCAUCUUCUUUGCGUCAAGUUUUUCCUUUGGUUUGCUUCAGAGUCAGGGAAAGCAGUGUUAACAUUUAUCUCUUGAACAAGCAGCCAUAAAAUUCUGAAAAAGAAAUUCAAUGCAACUCAGGAAAUGUUAAUCAGAUUGUGAAACGCAAAAGAAUAUGCUGGUUUCAAGUAUGUUUUGGAAACUUUGUUAGAGACUCUUGAUAUGACUUGGUUUCAAAAUAUUAAGAUUACGAUCCA